AUCAAAUGUCAUUUGUUUAGUUUCAACAAUUAGUAGGUGAUAUGAUAAGUAGUGUAGGCAAUUAUGGUAACAUUGAAAAUUUUGCGUGCGUUGGCUCAAAGAGUUUUAUCAGAAGGAUUUGAAAUUCAGAGAAGAUAAUGACGUUAAGUAGUUGUUUUGUCUAAUUUUAAGUGGUGUCACUACAAGAAAUAUACUCUUUUAUAGCUUUUAAAUAUAGUCAUUUUAAAAAUAAGCUAUAAAAUCAAGUGAGAAAACAUGGAAUAAAGAAGAGAAGAAAAUAUUUACUCAUCGUGCCCAAAAUUUUAGUAUUUUCCACACGCACGACCCAAAAUUGAAGCGAUCGUUUCUCAAUCUCCCUUCUCCUCUUUUGUUCUCCAAAAGAAGAUUUUGCACGUAAAACGUCUAGGACAUCUGAAACUUCUCUCCAAUUUUCUCCUAUUUCGUUUCUCCUCUUACUACUCGUUUCCUUGUCGUUCAUCUAUGAGCGGCGAAGAAGAACAAAGGAUGAUACACCAUUCACAUUGCAAAUGUCCUUAGACCACAUUUUGUGAAAAAACAACGAAUUUCCCUUCCUUUCUUCACACGAAAUCGAACUUUUCUUACAAAUCGAAGUUGCAGCUAUUGCCAUGGGUUUUGUUCUUUAUUAUCGUAGGUGAAGUAUUUGAGGGAAUCAGACAAUUCCAACAAGAUUAGUUUUCUUUUCCUACACUUAUAAAUCUUGUUUGAUUUCUAUUCAAAGCUCUUCAUUCGAUUUGUUUAUUGCCUACUGGGUUUGCUUUUUUCUGACUUCAGUUAACUCUUCCUUUUAAACUAACACUCGAUCACUUCUUUUUUCAGCCUGCAAAAUUCAUGGCUCGAACAUCAGAGUCUACUUUAAGGUGGUCUUAUCCACUUCGUUGCUCUGCAAUCUUUUGGAAUACAAUGAAAACAUCGAAACAUUUAUGCACAAUUGAUUUCGAUCUUCAAGCUUCUAGCCCUUGUCGUCGAGCAUCGUCGUUGCUAUUAUGGAUUAUUACCGUUAUUGUUGUUGCUCAUAUGUUUUGAGUUUGUAGGUACUAAGCAAUCAAGAGGUAAAAUUGGCGAUUUGGAGCUGAACGGGGUUAAUUUGAAGCAAAUUAGAGUUGAUUUGAGCAUCCGAACUUCAAAUGAGUUAAAAAGAUCAAAAUGCCUCUAUUAGAGCGUCGCAACGCUCGUGAUUUGCUUAGCCCAAAUGCUCUACGUUGGAAGGCAGAAUGCUAUGGUGCAGGGUAGCGUUGCAACGCUACGAACAUUGAGACGGAGAUGCCCUCAUGCGCAUGCAAGUGAGCGUUAGCCCAACGUUGCGCCUCUAUGUCUGACGCUUGAGACCAGUCGCAUUAAAGCAUUACAACGCUCUAUCUAACGUUGCGACACUGCCACUUUUCUAUAAAACAUCCCUUCGGUUUUUAGGUUAAUUUAUGCUGAAAAUUCAUGGCGACUGAAGGGUUGUGAAUUUAGAGAGGCUAUGGAGGCUGAGGAGAGGCUUUACUAUCUUCUUUCCCUUUGAUAUUUUUGGUAUCGUUAGAUUAGAUUUUAGUUUUAAUUUUAAAUUGUAAACAUGUAUUGGCUUGAACUCUUGAAUUUGUCUAUGAAUUUAUGA